UUUACGGUAAAGCUCCGGCGGUUUGAGAUGAGCCCAUGUCCUAUCAUGUUGUUGGUGGGGUAAUUGCCUACCAAGCCUAUGACGGGUAGCUGGUUUGAGAGGAUGAUCAGCCAGACUGGGACUGCGAUACGGCCCAGACUCCUACGGGAGGCAGCAACUAGGAAUCAUGCGCAAGUGGACGAAAGUCUGACGCUGCGACGUCGCGUGAGGGAUGAAGGUCUUCGGAUCGUAAACCUCUUUUAUCUGGGAACAAGUUCUGAGUGUACCAGAUGAAUAAGUGCCUGCCAACCACGUGCCAGAAGCAUCGGUAAUGCGUGGGGCACGAGCGUUAUCCGGAUUUACUGGGCGUAAAGAGAUGCGUAGGCGCCUUUUUAAGUCACUUGUAAAAUCUCCCCGCUCAACGGGGAAACUGCAAGUGAUACUGAAUUGGUUGAGUCAAGUAGAGGAGAGGGGAAUCCCUGGUGGAGCGGUUAAAUGCGUUGAUAUCAGGAGGAAUACCAAGUGCGAAGGCACCUCUCUGGACUUGUACUGACGCUAAGGCUCGAAAGUGUGGGGAGCAAAACGGAUUAGAUACCCGUGUAGUCCACACUGUAAACGAUCCCUGCUAGAUGUUUGCUUUGUUUUGUAAUUCUACGGCUUGCCGUAGGGUCCACAGACUGAGUGAGUGUCGCAGCUAACGCGUUAAGCAGGGCGCCUGGGGAGUACGGCCGCAAGGCUAAAACUCAAAGGAAUUGACGGGGACCCGCACAAGCAGUGGAGCGCCUGGUUUAAUUCGAUGGUCAGCGAAGAACCUCACCUGGGCUUGAACUGUAGCUGCACACCUUGGGAAACCAGGGGAGCCUUCGAGGGUGCUACAGAGGUGAUGCAUGGCUGUCGUCAGCUCGUGUCGUGAGAUGUAGGGUUAAGUCCCGUAACGAGCGCAACUCUUAUCUGAUGUUAUAAUUUCUUCAGAGACUGCCCCGUUAUAGCGGGGAGGAAGGAGGGGAUGACGUCCAGUCAGCAUGUCCCUUAUGUCCAGGGCUACACAGACGCUACAAUGGCUAUUACAAUGGGCUGCCAAGCCGCGAGGUGGAGCGAAUCCCAUCAAAAAUAGUCUCAGUUCGGAUUGCAGGCUGAAAUUCACCUGCAUGAAGUCGGA
rnacentral:rRNA from 1 species